GUCUUCCUCUGGGAGUGUAGUUCCCUGAUAGCUUUCUUUCUUUCUUUCUUUCUGUCCCAGGGAUUAAAGCAGGGCUGCUUCACCCCUGAGCCACCUUCCCAGCCCCUUUUUAGAUUUUAUUUAGAGUCAGGGUCUCGCUGAGUUGCUUCUGGCCUCACUAAGUUGCUGAAGCUGGCCUCCAACUUGCCAUCCUCCUGCCUCAGCCUCCGGGGAUGACAGCAUGUGCCACUGUGCCCAGCCCUGAUAGUUUUCUUAACGUGACCAGUGGCACAGCAUUCCGACUGUCUUCUGUGUUCUAGAACCUUCUCAGCGUUCCCUUUCCCCAUUUGCUCCUACUUGAGGCAAAAGCCACCUGGGCCAGGUGCUGUCUGUCAACAGAGUGGAUGGUGCUCCUGGCCCUCUUCCCGGGGCCUCUUCAGAGGAGAGCUGUUUGAGCAACCGCCUUGCCAACUUCCGGUGGCCUGCAGAGUGGAACGUCCUGCGUCUCCGCUGCCCUGAGAGCGGGUCCAUCUCCUGAGAUCUGGUGGUGAGAUCUGGUGAAAACAUCCGUCCCAGACAUACCCAGAAGUGUGCGUCACCAGUUCCCUAGGCCUCUCCAUCCAAUCAAGUUGACAACCAAGAGUUACCAUGACCCGGAGGCUCAGGAGGCUGAGGCAGGAGGAUCGCAAGUUGGAGGCCAGCCUCAGAAACUUAGAUCAGGGUGACAUUCAAGGGGCUUCUGGUCUGGUUUCACCCCACAGUGAAGCGGAUUCUAGCUCCACCAGGCCGGUGGAGGUAAAGGAGCUGGCGUCUUCUCCCGUGGCAGGAAUAAGGCAACAGGAGACCGUAAGGGGGAGCUGCAGAGGAAGGGUCAGGAGGAGCGGGCCCAAGGAAACCGGUCACUUCCCUGAGGCCAGUGGUGGGGCUGGGUUGAGGCCAGCUUCCGCCUCAAGAUGGCGGUUGUGAAGACGGAAGUUUCCAUGGGAGAGCGCAGCAGAGCUUUGUGAGCGAGAGACGAAAUUCUCAUGGGCCUCGGGUUAGUCAAAGGCCCAGCCUGGGCAGAGGGCCGCUGGAAAGGGCACCCGAAGAGACGGUAUGGAAGGAUCUGGGGACCCACAGAGGGUGGGCAGAGGCAAGGGGCCAGCCAGGAGGUGAGGCCCAAGCUGGCCAGAUGUGAGCUGCCAUCCACUGGGCCUGGAGGGACAAGGGGGAGGAAGCCGCUCCCAACAUGGGCUCCCAGGCGGGGGUGGACACGGGACAGUCCCUGACGUCUUCUUCUUGCCCUCCGGCGUCAGACGCGCCCCAGGUGGCAUUGGUGCGGCCUCACGGGAUGGGCUGGCUGGGAACCCGGGGAAUGGACACCCACAUGCCUGCAGUGCUGGGCGCUGUUCUGUGUCCAGCUCACUGUGAAUCCACUCAGACACGCGCCUCACCAGCUGGCCGUGUUCCCACUCUGCUGUGGAGAGAAAGUUGACGUGUGGACGGUGGCCCCAGGGAGACGCCAAGGUCCCAGGGAGACGGUCAAGGUCCCAGGGAGACGGUCAAGGUCCCAGGGAGACGGUCAAGGUCCCAGGGAGACGGUCAAG